AUACAGAAAGCAGCACUAUACAGGGAGCACUGACUGUAUAAUACAGAUCUGUUUGUGUAUAAUAUCCCAAGACAGUCAGUGCUCCCUGUAUAGUGCUGCUCUCUGUAU